rnacentral:rRNA from 1 species
UACGGGGGGGGCAAGCGUUGUUCGGAAUUACUGGGCGUAAAGGGCUCGUAGGCGGCCAUCUAAGUCAGACGUGAAAUCCCCAGGCUCAACCUGGGAACUGCAUCCGAUACUGGAUGGCUUGAAUCCGGGAGAGGGAUGCAGAAUUCCAGGUGUAGCGGUGAAAUGCGUAGAUAUCUGGAGGAAUACCGGUGGCGAAGGCGGCAUCCUGGACCGGCAUUGACGCUGAGGAGCGAAAGCUAGGGGAGCAAACGGG